rnacentral:snRNA from 1 species
GUGCUCACUUCAGCAGCACAUGCUCCCAAAUUAGAAUGAUACAAAGGUUUGCAUGGCCUUGUGCAGAGAUGAAAUGCAAUUUUGUGGACUGUUCUAUGUUUUU